rnacentral:lncRNA from 10 species
AAACUAGUUCAACCAUUGUGGAAGUCAGUGUGGCGAUUCCUCAGGGAUCUAGAACUAGAAAUACCGUUUGAGCCAGCCAUCCCAUUACUGGGUAUAUACCCAAAGGACUAUAAAUCAUGCUGCUAUAAAGACACAUGCACACGUAUGUUUAUUGCGGCACUAUUGACAAUAGCAAAGACUUGGAACCAACCCAAAUGUCCA